UACGUAGGGUGCGAGCGUUGUCCGGAAUUAUUGGGCGUAAAGGGCUCGUAGGCGGUUUGUCGCGUCGGGAGUGAAAACCUCGGGCUUAACUCGGGGCUUGCUUUCGAUACGGGCAGACUAGAGGUAUGCAGGGGAGAACGGAAUUCCUGGUGUAGCGGUGAAAUGCGCAGAUAUCAGGAGGAACACCGGUGGCGAAGGCGGUUCUCUGGGCAUGAUCUGACACUGAGGAGCGAAAGUGUGGGGAGCGAACAGG
rnacentral:rRNA from 1 species